UACGUAGGGUGCAAGCGUUAAUCGGAAUUACUGGGCGUAAAGCGUGCGCAGGCGGUUUUGUAAGUCUGACGUGAAAUCCCCGGGCUCAACCUGGGAAUUGCGUUGGAGACUGCAAGGCUAGAAUCUGGCAGAGGGGGGUAGAAUUCCACGUGUAGCAGUGAAAUGCGUAGAGAUGUGGAGGAACACCGAUGGCGAAGGGCAGCCCCCUGGGUCGAAGAUUGACGCUCAU
rnacentral:rRNA from 1 species